rnacentral:misc_RNA from 1 species
GAUGAAGAACGUAGCGAAAUGCGAUACUUGGUGUGAAUUGCAGAAUCCCGUGAACCAUCGAGUCUUUGAACGCAAGUUGCGCCCGAAGCCAUUAGGCCGAGGGCACGCCUGCCUGGGCGUCACACGUCGUUGCCCCCCCAUCUACUCCUUCGGGAUUGCGGGGGGCGGAUGAUGGCCCCCCGUGCGCCUCGUCGCGCGGUUGGCAUAAAUGCCAAGUCCUCGGCGACGCACGCCACGACAAUCGGUGGUUGCGAAACCUCGGUUGCCCGUCGUGUGCGGUCGUCGCGCAUCGAGGGCUCGAAAAAAUUGCCGGGCUCCGGCUCGGCUUUCAACGCGACCCCAGGUCAGGCGGGGUUACCCGCUGAAUUUAAGCAUAUCAAUAAGCGGAGGA